rnacentral:rRNA from 1 species
UAAUACAUGCAAGUCGAGCGAACAGACGAGGAGCUUGCUCCUCUGACGUUAGCGGCGGACGGGUGAGUAACACGUGGAUAACCUACCUAUAAGACUGGGAUAACUUCGGGAAACCGGAGCUAAUACCGGAUAAUAUAUUGAACCGCAUGGUUCAAUAGUGAAAGACGGUUUUGCUGUCACUUAUAGAUGGAUCCGCGCCGCAUUAGCUAGUUGGUAAGGUAACGGCUUACCAAGGCAACGAUGCGUAGCCGACCUGAGAGGGUGAUCGGCCACACUGGAACUGAGACACGGUCCAGACUCCUACGGGAGGCAGCAGUAGGGAAUCUUCCGCAAUGGGCGAAAGCUUGACGGAGCAACGCCGCGUGAGUGAUGAAGGUCUUCGGAUCGUAAAACUCUGUUAUUAGGGAAGAACAAAUGUGUAAGUAACUAUGCACGUCUUGACGGUACCUAAUCAGAAAGCCACGGCUAACUACGUGCCAGCAGCCGCGGUAAUACGUAGGUGGCAAGCGUUAUCCGGAAUUAUUGGGCGUAAAGCGCGCGUAGGCGGUUUUUUAAGUCUGAUGUGAAAGCCCACGGCUCAACCGUGGAGGGUCAUUGGAAACUGGAAAACUUGAGUGCAGAAGAGGAAAGUGGAAUUCCAUGUGUAGCGGUGAAAUGCGCAGAGAUAUGGAGGAACACCAGUGGCGAAGGCGACUUUCUGGUCUGUAACUGACGCUGAUGUGCGAAAGCGUGGGGAUCAAACAGGAUUAGAUACCCUGGUAGUCCACGCCGUAAACGAUGAGUGCUAAGUG